rnacentral:rRNA from 1 species
GGGUGUGUUGAUGAUGGCAGGGAAAUACCUGAAACCAUUUCGAACUCAGAAGUUAAGCCUGUCUGUGGCGAAUGUAGUGCUAGGGAGACUUAGUGUGAGAUAAGCUGGAUGCACCUU